rnacentral:tRNA from 1 species
ACCUGGCUGGCUCAGUCCUUAGAGCGUGGGACUCAUGAUCUCGGGGUUGUGAGUUGGAGCCUCACGUUGGUUG